ACUGACAAAGUUCUGGAACACAACACACCAGACAUCACAGUUGUGGAAAAGAACAAGGUUUGGAUCAUUGAUGUUGCCAUCCCAGGUGACAGUCGCAUAGAUGAAAAACAACAGGAAAAACUCAGCCGCUAUCAGGACCUCAAGAUUGAACUUCAAAGACUCUGGCAGAAACCAGUACAGUACAGGUGGUCCCGGUGGUGAUGGGCACACUGGGUGCCGUGCCAAAAGAUCUCAGCCGGCAUUUGGAAACAAUGGACAAAAUUAUGAUCUGUCAACUGCAAAAGGCCACCCUACUGGGAUCUGCGCGCAUCAUCCGAAAAUACAUCACACAGUCCUAGACACUUGGGAAGUGUUCGACUUGUGAUUUUGUGAAACGAAAUCCAGCACAUCUAUCUUGUUUGCUGUGUCAUACAAUAAAAUAAUAAUAAUAAAUAUGGAUCUGGGAAUCUGACCUGAGCCUGGGAGAGGGAAUUGCCUUUGCAUUAGAUCUGAUCGGUGGAAUUGGGGGUUAAUGUAAUAAUAUUAUUAAUAACAAUAGUACUCUGGGGAAGAUCCAAACAUUUUAAAAGUUGGUGGGCUAAAAGGGAUCAAAAUGCCCUCCGUGUGUGGUGGUGGUGGUGGGGGGGUGAGCCUCAGAAGCCCUCCCAUUGCCGCCAACGGCACGAAAAUGUUCAUGUUUUUCGUUAGCCAGAUGAAAAUUUGUGUCGUAUAGGUGGCCCAUUUUCGUUAGCGGGACACGAAUACGAAAAUGAGAUGACACGAAUGAAACUACACAAAACGAACAGCAAUUCCACAUGAAUGCACAACUCUAAUAAAGCUCCCACUUCACUUUUGCUCUGUUUGUGCCAUCAUCUCCCAGAAUCAUGGUUUCUCCUUCAACUUUCCAGCUUUCUUUUCUUCUCCAAACAGGCCCAAAUGUCUUUGAUCUCAGCUGAUAAGGUUAAUUCUCUCUACAUGGAGCAAGUUGCCAUGGGUAGCUUUUGUACCCACAAAGAGUUAACAGCCAAAUAGGUUCUAUCACAUUUCCCCUUAUUGUUCACCUUUGGGUUUUGGCAACACGGCACAAAGGAUAAAUUGAAGCAGUGGUGAAUAGAAGGAAGGAGACAAUCGGGAGCUGACAGGAGACAGUCUACUGAGCAGGCAACCAUUGUAUCUUUUGCAAAAGUCCCGGCUCUCUAAAUGGGAGAUGAAAUCGAAGACCUGGUGAUAAAUAAAAAGACAAAAACCAAGGACAGUACAAUGGAAAUGUUACAAUUGGGUUUGUGAGAGUGAAAGCGAAAUACAGAAACCAGUCCCAAGUAGAACAGAAGGUAUACGCUGGAAUUCCUUGGCCAAAUCUGUACAGCCAAAAAUACCUCCAUCUGCUCCACAUUGUAUUCUUUCUUAAAGUAAAGGUAAAGGUUUUCCCCUGACGUUAAGUCCAGUCAAGUCUGACUCUGGGGGUUGGUGUUCAUCUCCAUUUCUAAGCCAAAGAGCCAGCGUUGCCCAUAGACACCUCCAAGGUCAUGUGGCCGGCAUGACUGCAUGGAGUGCCGUUACCUUCCCACCAGAACAGUAUCUAUUGAUCUACUCACAUUGGCAUGUUUUUGAACUGCUAGGUUGGCAGGAGCUGGAGCUAACAGCGGCCGCUCACGCCACUCCCGGGGUUUGAACCUGGGACCUUUCGGUCUUCAGCUCAGUGCUUUAACACACUUCGCCACUGGGGCUCAAACAUAAUAUUUGGCCCAUACGUAUUCUUUCUUACUUGGUGGCAAUUGCAUGUACAGCUCUAUAGGCUGCGGCCUCAACUUUUGCAGAUGGUUUUUUUCCCCAUGGAGAUGCAGGUUGGAAAGAUUACAUGAUGGCCAAGAUCCUGUAUGGCACAGCAUUGUGGUCUCUUGGUAUGUGCUAGAGUUUGCUUUCAGGACCUGUCCAUGGGUGCCAAAUGCUGAAGUCCCAUUAUAUACAAAAACAUAACAUA
rnacentral:lncRNA from 1 species